rnacentral:rRNA from 1 species
AGUUCGAUUAUGGCUCAGAUUGAACGCUGGCGGGAUGGGCCUUUACACAUACAUGCAAGUCGAACGGCAGCACGGACUUCGGUCUGGUGGCGAGUGGCGAACGGGUGAGUAUCAGGAACGUGCCUAGUAGCGGGGGAUAACUACGCGAAAGCGUAGCUAAUACCGCAUACGCCCUUCGAGGGGGAAAGCGCGGGGGACCUUCGGGCCUCGCACUAUUAGAGCGGCCGAUAUCGGAUUAGCUAGUUGGUGGGGUAACGGCUCACCAAGGCGACGAUCCGUAGCUGGUUUGAGAGGACGACCAGCCACACUGGGAUGAGACACGGCCCAGACUCCUACGGGAGGCAGCGGUGCAGAAUUUUGGACAAUGGGGAAACCCUGAUCCAGCCAUCCCGCGUGUGCGAUGAAGGCCUUCGGGUUGUAAAGCACUUUUGGCGGGAAAGAAACGGCACGGGAUAAUACCCCGUGCAACUGACGGUACCUGCAGAAUAAGCACCGGCUAACUACGUGCCAACAGCCGCGGUAAUACGUAAGGGUGCAAGCGUUAAUCGGAAUUACUGGGCGUAAAGCGUGCGCAGGCGGUUCGGAAGAAAGAUGUGAAAUCCCAGAGCUUAACUUUGGAACUGCAUUUUUAACACCGAGCUAGAGUGUGUCAGAGGGGUGGAAUUCCGCGUGUAGCAGUGAAAUGCGUAGAUAUGCGGAGGAACACCGAUGGCGAAAACAGCCUCCUGGGAUAACACUGACGCUCAUGCACGAAAGCGUGGGAGCAAACGGGAUUAGAUACCCUGGUAGUCCACGCCCUAAACGAUGUCAACUAGCUGUUGGGGCCUUCGGGCCUUGGUAGCGCAGCUAACGCGUGAAGUUGACCGCCUGGGAAGAUACAGUCGCAAGAUUAAAACUCAAAGGAAUUGACGGGGACCCGCACAAGCGGUGGAUGAUGUGGAUUAAUUCGAUGCAACGCGAAAAACCUUACCUACCCUUGACAUGUCUGGAAUCCCGAAGAGAUUUGGGAGUGCUCGCAAGAGAACCGGAACACAGGUGCUGCAUGGCUGUCGUCAGCUCGUGUCGUGAGAUGUUGGGUUAAGUCACGAGCGCAACCCUUGUCAUUAGUUGCUACGAAAGGGCACUCUAAUGAGACUGCCGGUGACAAACCGGAGGAAGGUGGGGAUGACGUCAAGUCCUCAUGGCCCUUAUGGGUAGGGCUUCACACGUCAUACAAUGGUCGGGACAGAGGGUCGCCAACCCGCGAGGAGGGAGCCAAUCAGAAACCCGAUCGUAGUCGGAUCGCAGUCUGCAACUCGACUGCGUGAAGUCGGAAUCGCUAGUAAUCGCGGAUCAGCAUGUCGCGGUGAAUACGUUCGGGUCUUGUACCGCCCGUCACAUGGGAGUGGGUUUUGCCAGAAGUAGUUAGCCUAACCGCAAGGAGGCGAUUACCACGGCAGGGUUCAUGACUGGGGUGAAGUCGUAACAAAGGAAGUAG